UCCGAGGACGAAUUAAACAUCCUCGACACAGCUGAAGGUGCAACAAAAGCGAAAGAGGCCGAUUGGAAUGUUAAAAACACCUGAAAACUUUUUUUUCACUACCCUUCAUACUACAGCUGUCGAAAAACCACAGCAACGUCGACAGACCUGGAGGCAUAGCUGUACUUGUUUAACUCACAACGACAACGGGUCAAUUAUGAGUGAAGAACCGUUCACCAAAUGAAGACCGCAGCCAGGUGACGGGAUUCUGUGGUAAUCGCAAACAGGUAAGCACCAUACCGUAAGCUUCAUUCCCUUUAUAACAGG